AGAUGCUGAGCAACGUGGCGGAACGCGUCACCGUGCCCCGGAACUUCAUCCGCGGAGCGCUGCUGGAGCAGGCGGGACAAGACAUUCAGAACAAGCUGGACGAGGUGAAGCUCUCCGUUGUCACCUACUUGACCAACUCCAUAGUGGACGAGAUCCUGCAGGAGCUGUACCACUCCCACAAGAGCCUGGCCCGGCACCUGACCCAGCUGAGGACACUGUCGGAUCCACCAGGAGGGGCCGGCCCAGGGCAAGAUCCAUCUUCCCGAGGCAGAGGCAGGAGCCAUGACCAUGAGGAAACAGAUGACGAGCUUGGGACCAACAUCGUGAGCCCCAGUCUUCAGUCCUUGCUUUCACCUGAGUCCUCUCCCUGAACCUUCGAGGUUGCUGUCGCCCCUCACUUCUCGGACUCCGCCUCCCUGUGCCCA
rnacentral:lncRNA from 1 species